GGUGAACGCUGGCGGCGUGCUUAAGACAUGCAAGUCGAACGGGCUCUUCGGAGCCAGUGGCGCACGGGUGAGUAACGCGUAACUGACCUACCCCAAAGUCGCGGAUAACGAUUCGAAAGAAUCGCUAAUACGUGAUGUGCUGUCAGAUCCUGUUCUGCCAGUAAAGAUUUAUUGCUUUGGGAUGGGGUUGCGUUCCAUCAGCUAGUUGGUGGGGUAAAGGCCCACUAAGGCGACGACGGAUCGCCGGCCUGAGAGGGUGGCCGGCCACAGGGGCACUGAGACACGGGUCCCACUCCUACGGGAGGCAGCAGUUAGGAAUCUUCCACAAUGGGCGAAAGCCUGAUGGAGCGACGCCGCGUGAGGGAUGAAGGUCGUCGGAUCGUAAACCUCUGAAUCAGGGACGAAAGACGCGAAAGCGGGAUGACGGGACCUGAGUAAUAGCACCGGCUAACUCCGCG
rnacentral:rRNA from 1 species